CGCAAAGAGAUAUGAGGCGUGCAGAAGUCUGAAGUUUCACCCAAUCCCCAAUCCCCAUCCCUAGUUCCUCUCUUCCUCCUCCCCUGUUCGUCGCCAUGGACGCCAGCUGAAGCUUGCCCGUCCUUGUUCUCUAGUUCCUAUCCUCCUCUCUUUGUCUCCAUGGCCGCCCCACCUCCCUAGUUUCUCUCCUCCUCCGAUCCAUCUCCCGGGACAUGGAAACGCCAUGGACAUGGACCACCUCGUCAUGGCUCGGUGUAAUAGCGGCGCAUGGAGUACAUCAUGUAUGUUCGUGGACCGGAGGAAGGAGAGAGCAGAGCUGCUGCGAGAACUACUCAAGAGCAGGAUUUGGCACAGCCCGAAACUGAAGCAUGCUCAGAGCAUUAGUACUUGCAGGAAAACAACACAGGGAAUCAUCCCAGGGGCCCAAAUGGUGUACAUUAUACUAUUUAUAGGCAUGUUUUGAUGCUCUAAGAAGAGAUAAUUCAGUUUAGUUGAGAAUUAGUAGGUGUACAAGGUGUUAGCUUUUCUUGCUGGUACGGUUGUCUCUGUUUAGUUGAGAAGAGAGAACUCAGAGAAAGCAAUUUUUUUAGUGGAUGUACUUCUGAGUCUGCAACCUGUUGCCUAUGGACACAUAUAUGUAAUCUGAAUGCAAUCUGUUGCUUUCUUUGGGAA